rnacentral:lncRNA from 1 species
CAGAAAUUUUCCCGCGCAAACGUAAUAUUCAGUUGGUUUUUUUUUCGAUGAUGGUGAUCAAUUUUUUUUUUUCAACAUUUAACACUAUAUUGUAUGGAGAAACUCUUUAUUCAGAUUUUUUUUUAAUCAUCUGUAGGACCAGAUUUUUUUUUAUCCAAUUGGGGUUCGAAAUACCGCCCCCCCCCAACCCCCCAACCCCCGCCCUCCUCCCCCGAUUUGAAGUCAAAUGAUCGUUCCCUUACUACUAGAAAAUAUGUCCGAAAACUUUGCAUUCGGUUCUACGUAAUGAACAUUUAAAUGACAUAGAGUUUAUAAGUGUGAACAAAUCUUAUGUACAGGUAACUAAACAAGGUGUAUAGAUGUGAACAAAUUCAAUGUGAAACCAAUGGCCAGUACAUUAAACUUAUUGUAAACAUGUUUACUGUACAUGGAGUUUGGUGUGAACACGGCC